rnacentral:rRNA from 1 species
UACGGAGGGGGCAAGCGUUGUUCGGAGUUACUGGGCGUAAAGCGCGCGUAGGCGGUGCGGUAAGUCAGGGGUUAAAGGCUGCAGCUCAACUGCAGUAAGGCCUUUGAUACUAUCGUGCUAGAGUGUCAGAGAGGAUGGCGGAAUUCCCGGUGUAGCGGUGAAAUGCGUAGAUAUCGGGAGGAAGGCCGGUGGCGAAGGCGGCCCCCUGGGCCUGUACUGACGCUCAUGCACGAAAGCGUGGGGAGCAAACAGG